rnacentral:rRNA from 1 species
CGACCUGAGCUCAGACAAGAUUACCCGCUGAACUUAAGCAUAUCAAUAGCC